rnacentral:precursor_RNA from 1 species
ACACUCAGCAUGCACAUGGAGGCUUUGAGUUUUCCUAGAAACCAGCCUCGUGCACACUGAGUAAGG